UACAGAGGGUGCAAGCGUUAAUCGGAAUUACUGGGCGUAAAGGGCGCGUAGGCGGCAAUUCAAGUCAUCUGUGAAAUCUCCGAGCUUAACUCGGAACGGUCAGAUGAUACUGCUUUGCUAGAGUGCAGAAGGGGCAACCGGAAUUCUUGGUGUAGCGGUGAAAUGCGUAGAUAUCAAGAGGAACACCGGAGGUGAAGACGGGUUGCUGGGCUGACACUGACGCUGAGGCGCGAAAGCUAGGGUAGCAAACGGG
rnacentral:rRNA from 1 species